rnacentral:rRNA from 1 species
UACGAAGGGGGCUAGCGUUGUUCGGAAUUACUGGGCGUAAAGCGUGCGCAGGCGGCUUCUCAAGUCAGGGGUGAAAGCCCCAGGCUCAACCUGGGAAGUGCACUCGAUACUGCGUGGCUUGAGUAUCGGAGAGGUUGGUGGAAUUCUCGGUGUAGAGGUGAAAUUCGUAGAUAUCGAGAGGAACACCGGUGGCGAAGGCGGCCAACUGGACGAAUACUGACGCUGAGACACGAAAGCGUGGGGAGCAAACAGG